UGAACGCUGGCGGCAGGCCUAACACAUGCAAGUCGGGCGGUAACAGGGAUAGCUUGCUAUCUGCUGACGAGCGGCGGACGGGUGAGUAAUGCAUAGGAAUCUGUCUGGUAGUGGGGGAUAGCCCAGAGAAAUUUGGAUUAAUACCGCAUACGCCCUACGGGGGAAAGCUGGGGACCUUCGGGCCUAGCGCUAUCAGAUGAGCCUAUGUCGGAUUAGCUUGUUGGUGAGGUAACGGCUCACCAAGGCGACGAUCCGUAGCUGGUCUGAGAGGAUGAUCAGCCACACUGGGACUGAGACACGGCCCCGACUCCUACGGGAGGCAGCAGUGGGGAAUAUUGGACAAUGGGCGCAAGCCUGAUCCAGCCAUGCCGCGUGUGUGAAGAAGCCUUCGGGUUGUAAAGCACUUUCAGCGAGGAGGAAAGGGGUGUUCUAAUAUCAAUGCCCUGUGACGUUACUCGCAGAAGAAGCACCGGCUAACUCCGUGCCAGCAGCCGCGGUAAU
rnacentral:rRNA from 1 species